rnacentral:rRNA from 1 species
CACUCCUACGGGAGGCAGCAGUGGGGAAUAUUGCACAAUGGGCGCAAGCCUGAUGCAGCCAUGCCGCGUGUAUGAAGAAGGCCUUCGGGUUGUAAAGUACUUUCAGCGGGGAGGAAGGCGAUAAGGUUAAUAACCUUGUCGAUUGACGUUACCCGCAGAAGAAGCACCGGCUAACUCCGUGCCAGCAGCCGCGGUAAUACGGAGGGUGCAAGCGUUAAUCGGAAUUACUGGGCGUAAAGCGCACGCAGGCGGUCUGUCAAGUCGGAUGUGAAAUCCCCGGGCUCAACCUGGGAACUGCAUUCGAAACUGGCAGGCUAGAGUCUUGUAGAGGGGGGUAGAAUUCCAGGUGUAGCGGUGAAAUGCGUAGAGAUCUGGAGGAAUACCGGUGGCGAAGGCGGCCCCCUGGACAAAGACUGACGCUCAGGUGCGAAAGCGUGGGGAGCAAACAGGAUUAGAUACCCGUGUAGUCCCAUGA